rnacentral:rRNA from 1 species
AAUGAACGUUGGCGGCAGGCUUAACACAUGCAAGUCGAACGGAAACGAUAGGUGCUUGCACCUAGGCGUCGAGUGGCGGACGGGUGAGUAAUGCUUAGGAAUCUGCCUACUAGUUGGGGACAACUUGGGGAAACUCAAGCUAAUACCGAAUAUGGUCUAAGGAUUAAAGGUGGCCUCUUUGCAAUGCUAUCGCUAGUAGAUGAGCCUAAGUUAGAUUAGUUAGUUGGUAAGGUAAAGGCUUACCAAGGCGAUGAUCUAUAGCUGGUCUGAGAGGAUGAUCAGCCACACUGGGACUGAGACACGGCCCAG